GCACCAUGGAUUAUUGGGCAGUGGGGAUUCUGUAUGCAGAUAGGGAGGAGUCGUCUGUGAUGGUUAAGCUCUGCCCCAUCUAACAGUGGAGAGAGAAGAUCCUUGCUCAGAUCCAAUAUGAGAAGCAGCAGCAGAAGAAAAAGAAACAGCAUCAGCAGCAGUGCAAUUGCUUCCAUUCGUCUGACAUAGACAUUUGUGAAUCUCUGUAUUCAACCAAUUUCUUUUUAACCAGCAACCUUCUUAUCUAGCACUAUGACAUCUCGGGCAAUAAACAAGAAAAGCUGACACUCUGAAGACUCUGAUGUGUAACCAUGGCCUUCAAAAUGUGUGACAAUGGCUCAUGCUGAGGGACACAACAUAAAGUUCAGCAGAAGCAUUUGACAUAAUGUGGGAUUCAUUUCUUCAAGAGCUAUAACCCAUUUCCUGAUUCAGCAUUUUCAGCACCAAUAAUUUAUAGUGACAGAAUGAAAUAACACCAUCUGAACAUGGGAAUGGAAACAAACUUGAGU